rnacentral:sRNA from 1 species
UCGCUCUAAUCACUCCACGGCAGCGCGC